rnacentral:rRNA from 1 species
CUGAACCAGCCAAGUAGCGUGAAGGAUGACUGCCCUAUGGGUUGUAAACUUCUUUUAUAAAGGGAUAAAGUCGGGUAUGCAUACCCGUUUGCAUGUACUUUAUGAAUAAGGAUCGGCUAACUCCGUGCCAGCAGCCGCGGUAAUACGGAGGAUCCGAGCGUUAUCCGGAUUUAUUGGGUUUAAAGGGAGCGUAGAUGGAUGUUUAAGUCAGUUGUGAAAGUUUGCGG